rnacentral:pre_miRNA from 1 species
UAUUAAAAUUUUUAUCAAUUUGUACUGUUAAAAACUGGUUGGUUGAUGAAAUAACCAAACAGUAACAUGUGACGUGUCAUGUGUACAUAAGAUGAUGUAUAGGGACCAAUACUUAAUAAUAAGAAAUAGAUAAAAUUUUUAACA